rnacentral:misc_RNA from 1 species
GAUGAAGAACGUAGCGAAAUGCGAUAAGUAGUGUGAAUUGCAGAAUUCAGUGAAUCAUCGAAUCUUCGAACGCACAUUGCGCCCCUUGGUAUUCCAUGGGGCAUGCCUGUUCGAGCGUCAUUUGUACCUUCAAGCUCUGCUUGGUGUUGGGUGUUUGUCUCGCCUCUGCGUGUAGACUCGCCUCAAAAUAAUUGGCAGCCGGCGUAUUGAUUUCGGAGCGCAGUACAUCUCGCGCUUUGCACUCAUAACGACGACGUCCAAAAGUACAUUUUUACACUCUUGACCUCGGAUCAGGUAGGGAUACCCGCUGAACUUAAGCAUAUCAAUAAGCGGAGGA